CGACUGCAUAAUUUGUGGUAGUGGGGGACU
rnacentral:piRNA from 6 species